rnacentral:rRNA from 1 species
UGCUGGAGCGAAUAGAAGUGAGCAUGCAGGCAUGAGUAGCGAUAAUUAAUGUGAGAAUCAUUAACGCCGUAAACCCAAGGUUUCCUACGCGAUGCUCGUCAUCGUAGGGUUAGUCGGGUCCUAAGUCGAGUCCGAAAGGGGUAGACGAUGGCAAAUUGGUUAAUAUUCCAAUACCAACAUUAGUGUGCGAUGGAAGGACGCUUAGGGCUAAGGGGGCUAGCGGAUGGAAGUGCUAGUCUAAGGUCGUAGGAGGUUAUACAGGCAAAUCCGUAUAACAAUACUCCGAGAACUGAAAGGCUUUUUGAAGUCUUCGGAUGGAUAGAAGAACCCCUGAUGCCAUCGAGCCAAGAAAAGUUUCUAAGUUUAGCUAAUGUUGCCCGUACCGUAAACCGACACAGGUGGGUGGGAUGAGUAUUCUAAGGCGCGUGGAAGAACUCUCUUUAAGGAACUCUGCAAAAUAGCACCGUAUCUUCGGUAUAAGGUGUGGUUAGCUUUGUAUUAGGAUUUACUCCGAAAGCAAGGAAACUUACAACAAAGAGUCCCUCCCGACUGUUUACCAAAAACACAGCACUCUGCUAACUCGUAAGAGGAUGUAUAGGGUGUGACGCCUGCCCGGUGCUCGAAGGUUAAUUGAUGGGGUUAGCAUUAGCGAAGCUCUUGAUCGAAGCCCGAGUAAACGGCGGCCGUAACUAUAACGGUCCUAAGGUAGCGAAAUUCCUUGUCGGUUAAAUACCGACCUGCAUGAAUGGCGUAACGAGAUGGGAGCUGUCUCAAAGAGGGAUCCAGUGAAAUUGUAGUGGAGGUGAAAAUUCCUCCUACCCGCGGCAAGACGGAAAGACCCCGUGGACCUUUACUACAGCUUGACACUGCUACUUGGAUAAGAAUGUGCAGGAUAGGUGGGAGGCUUUGAGUAUAUGACGCCAGUUGUAUAUGAGCCAUUGUUGAGAUACCACUCUUUCUUAUUUGGGUAGCUAACCAGCUUGAGUUAUCCUCAAGUGGGACAAUGUCUGGUGGGUAGUUUGACUGGGGCGGUCGCCUCCCAAAUAAUAACGGAGGCUUACAAAGGUUGGCUCAGAACGGUUGGAAAUCGUUCGUAGAGUAUAAAGGUAUAAGCCAGCUUAACUGCAAGACAUACAAGUCAAGCAGAGACGAAAGUCGGUCUUAGUGAUCCGGUGGUUCUGUGUGGAAGGGCCAUCGCUCAAAGGAUAAAAGGUACCCCGGGGAUAACAGGCUGAUCUCCCCCAAGAGCUCACAUCGACGGGGAGGUUUGGCACCUCGAUGUCGGCUCAUCGCAUCCUGGGGCUGGAGCAGGUCCCAAGGGUAUGGCUGUUCGCCAUUUAAAGCGGUACGCGAGCUGGGUUCAGAACGUCGUGAGACAGUUCGGUCCCUAUCUGCCGUGGGCGUAAGAAGAUUGAAGAGAUUUGACCCUAGUACGAGAGGACCGGGUUGAACAAACCACUGGUGUAGCUGUUGUUCUGCCAAGAGCAUCGCAGCGUAGCUAAGUUUGGAAAGGAUAAACGCUGAAAGCAUCUAAGCGUGAAGCCAACUCUAAGAUGAAUCUUCUCUAAGCUCUCUAGAAGACUACUAGUUUGAUAGGCUGGGUGUGUAAUGGAUGAAAGUCCUUUAGCUGACCAGUACUAAUAGAGCGUUUGGCUUAUCUUU